rnacentral:tRNA from 1 species
GCGGCCAUGAUCGAGCGGAGCGAUACCGGCCUUUCAAGCCGAGGAUGCCGGUUCGAAUCCCGCUGGCCGCUCCA